UCUUGCUGGCUUCCAGAGGAUCCUCUUCUAGCAGAUUAUAUGGGGAAGCCAUUAGGAAGUUUUGACUGACCCGAUUUAAGAGAAGCACAUUAGCUCUUUUGUUGGGAAUAGACCCUGGGGGCAAGUAUGGAAUCCCAGCACACAGAGACAGAAUCUUACUGUGUUGCCAGGCUGGCCUAGAACUCCUGGGCUCAAGCAGUUCUCCAGCCUUGACCUCCAAAAUGUUGGGAUUACAGGUGUGAGCCAUGGCGCCCAAAUGACAACAGGAUAUUUAAGCACUGUCUCUGUCAUUUGCUGGUUAAUUGCUUAAUUCUGAUGCAGUUUCUGAAAACUCCACCAGUACUCAAAAUCCUAGAAUAUGUUGUCUUUAAGGAGGUUCAUGAAAGGAUGGAAAAGACCCUGAAAAUCACUCUUGGAUACAGAUUUCUAUUGACUUUAAAAUCAUAUUAUUUGGACUGGGUAAGAAUUCCUGGAACUUUAAUGGAAAGACUGACUGGUUUAUAAAACUGCUAACCCAAGCAGAACAAAAAUUAAUUGAAUACCAAGAUAAUACUUUGCCAGAUUUGUAUGUUAAAUCAGCCAAUACUGAAUUUGUUUAGAUACACAACUUGAAUGAACUCCAUGGCCUAAGUUAAAUUACCUAUGAUAAUCCAUCAGUUACCAGUGCUAUGCACCUGAAUUGGAGAAACAACUGGUAUUCAAGAGGACGUGAGUCCAAUAUUAAGCAUGGACUCCUGAAGAACCAGAACAGCCAUCUUGUCCUUCCUGAGUCUUUAAAGCUUUUGUUAUUAAAAGUUUUGCAUUCCAUGACUCAUCAUGGAAAAAAUAAAAUGAUCCAAAUUAUAUAUAUAUAUAUAUAUGUGUGUGUGUGUGUGUGUGUGUGUGUGUGUGU
rnacentral:lncRNA from 1 species